AAAUCUUUCAAAUUCUAGGUACAGUGAGAGUCUACGAAAGAACUGAGGAUGACAUCCUGUCUCCACUUACCAGGCUUCUACACAGAUCAAGGAAAGCCCUUUGAAAGAUGAGGAAACACAUGCAAGGACAUGCAGAACAGGUCCUCUCAGUAUCCAAGAUCUCAGGUACAGUCCAAGCAAAAAGGAGAAAGAAAGCAAAAUUAGAGCAAGUUAUUACCUGAAAAGCAAAGAGAUGAUAAAAACACAUACCUGUUUUUUGAACUUGAAGUUGAAUUCCCACAUUGGUUCCUGUCUGUUCCCAACAACCUUUCUGCACCAGAAAAAUAGAAAACCCGUAUCCUGCCCUCUCACCCUCCCAAUGUGACAUUGGUGCAACUUGAGAAGAGACAACCCCAAGGCUGUUCAACAAAGAGAAGAGGAGUGCUUUCUGGAAUGGCUGGAUUCUUGGAGAUUCGAGCAGCAAAUGGCUCAUACAUAUGGUACAGAGAUCGGAUCACACAUGCCCGAAGACAGUGCAGCUUCUCCAUUGACUCUGGUCGCAGGCGCAAAGGCAGAGAGGCAUCCAGUGUGUAGUGUCUGAAACAUGACACAUUACUCCUACCAGUAAGCAACCUGUCUCUUCUGUUCUAGGCCAGUCUCCUAGGACUCCUAGGCUCUGUACAAAUUUUACAUUACUAUUCCACUGGCCAGUAGUUAAUUUGUCCCUAGUGCUCUCAUGCGGUCUCUGUUUCUUACACACACACACACGUACAAAUCAUCUCCUUCACUUCUCAGCUACUUUUCUCUGUUAUGAAAAACCCAAUUCACAUAUACCUUAUAAUCCUGCACUUCUCUAUUCAUUUAAAAAUUUUAAAUCCUCGCUAUUUCACUUUAAAAAAGGGCAAGUCUCUGACUUGAUAAUAGUACAAUACACUUCAGUUACUGAAAAAGAACUUGCACUGAAGAAGAUCUACCAGGUUCUCUUGUCACAUGUCUCAGAAAGUUCUCCACUCCCUGAUAACCUCAACAACUCCUUUCACCAUAUUCUUACCAACAGUUUAUAAUCUUCACUUCGCUUCUAACCCAGACUCUCUUAUUAAUCACAUCAUUCACUCUCUCCUCACCACUGCAACUAUACAGAGCCACAUAAAUGCAAAGACUAUGCAUUCAAGAUGACUAGCAAAUCUAAGAAACAACCAAUCCAGUUGGAAAGAUAAACAGAUGGGCAUCUAUAGUUUCUGAGAAUUCUAGCUAAGAUAAACCUCUGAAGCAAAGUCAAAAAUAGUUAUUUUUGAGACCUUACUUUUGCUGAAAGCAUUAGGUUGGUGCAAAAGUAAUUGGGGUUUUACAUUGUUGAACUUUGCCACUUGAUAUUGGAAUAUAUUCUUA